GACGAACGCUGGCGGCGUGCCUAAUACAUGCAAGUCGAACGCAGUGGGGACGGGUGAGUAACAAGUGGGUUAUCUCCCAUCAGAGGGGAUAACACUUGGAAAAAGGUGCUAAACCGAUACUGAUGGAGGUGACGUCGGUGCAUGAGGUAGUUGGUGAGGUAACGGCUCACCAAGGCCAGGAUGCAUAGCCGACCUGAGAGGUGAAUCGGCCACACGGUGACUGAGACACGUCCCAGACUCCUACGGGAGGCAGCAGUAGGGAAUCUUCGGCAAUGGACGAAAGUCUGACCGAGCAACGCCGCGUGAGGGAAGAAGGUUUUCGGAUCGUAAAACUCUGUUGUUAGAGAAGCGGUAUCUAACCAGAAAGCCACGGCUAACUACGUGCCAGCAGCCGCGGUAAUAC
rnacentral:rRNA from 1 species